rnacentral:rRNA from 1 species
AGAGUUUGAUCAUGGCUCAGGAUGAACGCUAGCUACAGGCUUAACACAUGCAAGUCGAGGGGAAACGACAUCGAAAGCUUGCUUUUGAUGGGCGUCGACCGGCGCACGGGUGAGUAACGCGUAUCCAGCCUGCCCAUCACUUGGGGAUAACCUUGCGAAAGUAAGACUAAUACCCAAUGACGUCUCUAGAAGACAUCUGAAAGAGAUUAAAGAUUUAUCGGUGAUGGAUGGGGAUGCGUCUGAUUAGCUUGUUGGCGGGGUAACGGCCCACAAGGCGACGAUCAGUAGGGGUUCUGAGAGGAAGUCCCCCANAUUGGAACUGAGACACGGUCCAAACUCCGUACGGAGGCA